UCAUGCCCCUUGUGGAUAGCUGUUCUCCUCCCAUCUCUUUCAGGCAGCUAGGUGAGAUGUGGAAUCGGCUCCCUGAAGUGGCUGGGUGACAACCCAGAAGGGCUGGAGAGUUAAACUUUGAAUCAAGGGAUUAGAGGCCAAGAAGCUUUUCUGUAGGUUUGGAAUUUUUACAAUAAAAAGUUAGAGACACGAAGCAUUUUCUCUCCCCGGAGAUGGAUUACACCACUGGCAUUCAGAAUAGCAUUUCCCCUCUUUCCUGGCUACAAUUACAAGGAUCUCUCAGUGCCUGCCUGUGUGAGUUAAGAUAUUUGUGGGUAAAGUGUACUAUUGGAUUCAUCCUUCUCGGAAUCCUUCAAGGAAAACAUCCAUACUUGCUGACCAGAGCUGUUGGAGAGAGGGGAAGGGAAAGAGAAAGAGAGGGAGAGA